rnacentral:rRNA from 1 species
GACGAACGCUGGCGGCGUGCUUAACACAUGCAAGUCGAACGGAAAGGCCCUGCUUUUGUGGGGUGCUCGAGUGGCGAACGGGUGAGUAACACGUGAGUAACCUGCCCUUGACUUUGGGAUAACUUCAGGAAACAGGGGCUAAUACCGGAUAGGAUCUCCUGCUGCACGGGGGGGGUUGGAAAGUUUCGGCGGUGGGGGAUGGACUCGCGGCUUAUCAGCUGGUUGGUGGGGUAGUGACUGACCAAGGCUUUGACGGGUAGCCGGCCUGAGAGGGUGACCGGCCACAUUGGGCCUGAGAUACGGCCCAGACUCCUACGGGCGGCAGCAGUGGGGAAUAUUGCACAGUGGGCGGAAGCCUGAUGCAGCAACGCCGCGUGCGGGAUGCCGGCCUUCGGGUUGUAAACCGCUUUCGCCUGUGCCGAAGCGUGAGUGACGGUAAUGGGUCAAGAAGCACCGGCUAACUACGUG